rnacentral:rRNA from 1 species
GUGGGGAAUCUUGCGCAAUGGGCGAAAGCCUGACGCAGCCAUGCCGCGUGGAUGAUGAAGGUCUUAGGAUUGUAAAAUCCUUUCACCGGUGAAGAUAAUGACUGUAGCCGGAGAAGAAGCCCCGGCUAACUUCGUGCCAGCAGCCGCGGUAAUACGAAGGGGGCUAGCGUUGUUCGGAAUUACUGGGCGUAAAGCGCACGUAGGCGGACAUUUAAGUCAGGGGUGAAAUCCCGGGGCUCAACCCCGGAACUGCCUUUGAUACUGGCUGUCUUGAGUACGGGAGAGGUGAGUGGAACUCCGAGUGUAGAGGUGAAAUUCGUAGAUAUUCGGAAGAACACCAGUGGCGAAGGCGACUCACUGGCCCGUUACUGACGCUGAGGCGCGAAAGCGUGGGGAGCAAACAGGAUUAGAAACCCCUGUAGUCC